rnacentral:tRNA from 1 species
GAGAGUAGAAUUCAGUGCUAGAGUGUGUGCUUAGCAUGCACAAAGUCCUGGGUUCAAUCCCCAGUACCUCU